rnacentral:rRNA from 1 species
GAUGAACGCUGGCGGCGUGCCUAAUACAUGCAAGUCGAGCGAACGGACGAGAAGCUUGCUUUUCUGAUGUUAGCGGCGGACGUGUGAGUAACACGUGGAUAACCUACCUAUAAGACUGGGAUAACUUCGGGAAACCGGAGCUAAUACCGGAUAAUAUUUUGAACCGCAUUGUUCAAAAGUGAAAGACGGUCUUUCUGUCACUUAUAGAUGGAUCCGCGCUGCAUUAGCUAGUUGGUAAGGUAACGGCUUACCAAGGCAACGAUGCAUAGCCGACCUGAGAGGGUGAUCGGCCACACUGGAACUGAGACACGGUCCAGACUCCUACGGGAGGCAGCAGUAGGGAAUCUUCCGCAAUGGGCGAAAGCAUGACGGAGCAACGCCGCGUGAGUGAUGAAGGUCUUCGGAUCGUAAAACUCUGUUAUUAGGGAAGAACAUAUGUGUAAGUAACUGUGCACAUCGUGACGGUACCUAAUCAGAAAGCCACGGCUAACUACGUG